rnacentral:rRNA from 1 species
GAUGAACGCUAGCUACAGGCUUAACACAUGCAAGUCGAGGGGCAUCGGGAAGAAAGCUUGCUUUCUUUGCCGGCGACCGGCGCACGGGUGAGUAACACGUAUCCAACCUGCCCUUUACUCGGGGAUAGCCUUUCGAAAGAAAGAUUAAUACCCGAUAGUAUAAUGAUUCCGCAUGGUUUCAUUAUUAAAGGAUUCCGGUAAAGGAUGGGGAUGCGUUCCAUUAGGUUGUUGGUGAGGUAACGGCCCACCAAGCCUUCGAUGGAUAGGGGUUCUGAGAGGAAGGUCCCCCACAUUGGAACUGAGACACGGUCCAAACUCCUACGGGAGGCAGCAGUGAGGAAUAUUGGUCAAUGGGCGCUAGCCUGAACCAGCCAAGUAGCGUGAAGGAUGAAGGCUCUAUGGGUCGUAAACUUCUUUUAUAUAAGAAUAAAGUGCAGUAUGUAUACUGUUUUGUAUGUAUUAUAUGAAUAAGGAUCGGCUAACUCCGUGCCAGCAGCCGCGGUAAUACGGAGGAUCCGAGCGUUAUCCGGAUUUAUUGGGUUUAAAGGGAGCGUAGGUGGACUGGUAAGUCAGUUGUGAAAGUUUGCGGCUCAACCGUAAAAUUGCAGUUGAUACUGUCAGUCUUGAGUACAGUAGAGGUGGGCGGAAUUCGUGGUGUAACGGUGAAAUGCUUAGAUAUCACGAAGAACUCCGAUUGCGAAGGCAGCUCACUGGACUGCAACUGACACUGAUGCUCGAAAGUGUGGGUAUCAAACAGG